GGUCCGAUGGUGUAGCUGGUAACAUGCUCUCUCUUGUUUUCCAAGAUCUUGUUAUUUCGAUAUGAGGAAAUCCCUUGUUCGAUCCAAGGCCGAGCCU